UAAUUUUCCUAUUGGAUCUGAUCACCUGGGAGAACGUGGAAGGUGUAAGUGAGUGGAGUUGCAUGCAUGUGAAGUGAACUGUGUAUGCUAUCACCAAAUUAAAUUUAAUUGAAUAUAUUGUUUCAAUACAUUUAUUAUUUACUGCUUUGUGUGUGUGUGUAUACAUAUAUAUUUAUUUAUAUGAUCCUGAUAAUUUGACACUAGUUUUGUUCAAUUUGUUCCUUUCCUUUUUCUCUCUAUCUUGGAAUGUGCAAUCCU
rnacentral:lncRNA from 1 species